UCAAAGACCACCACCAUCUUCCUCAAUGGCAACCGCGAGCGGCCCUUGGAUGUGUUUUGUGACAUGCAGACUGACGGAGGAGGUUGGCUGGUGUUCCAGCGCCGCAUGGACGGACAGACAGACUUCUGGAGAGACUGGGAGGAGUACGCCCAUGGUUUCGGGAACAUCUCCAGGGAAUUCUGGCUGGGCAAUGAGGCCCUUCACAGCCUCACGCAGGCUGGAGACUACUCUAUGCGUGUGGACCUGCGGGCCGGAAAGGAAGCCGUGUUCGCCCAGUAUGACUUCUUCCGAGUAGACUCAGCGAAGGAGAACUAUCGUCUACACCUAGGGGGCUACCAUGGGACCGCGGGUGACUCUAUGAGCUACCACAGCGGCAGUGUCUUUUCGGCCCGUGAUCGAGACCCCAAUAACUUGCUCAUCUCCUGCGCUGUCUCCUACCGUGGCGCUUGGUGGUACAAGAACUGUCACUACGCCAACCUCAACGGGCUCUAUGGAAGCACAGUGGAUCACCAGGGAGUGAGCUGGUACCACUGGAAGGGCUUCGAGUUCUCGGUGCCCUUCACGGAAAUGAAGCUGAGACCCAGAAACUUCCAGGCCCCCACCAGGGGCACCUGAGCCUGCUGCCCACCUCACUCACACCCUGGUAUGACUGCCGAGCACUGAGGGGUUGUGCCCAGAGAAGAGCCAGUGUGUCUCUACUGUGCCUAGCUCACCGAGGAAGCCUUCUCUGCCACAGUCUCACAGCACCAUGUUUACAGGGGGGAGGGGAGGGGAAUGGAGCAAUAAAGGAGAA